AAAUGGGAGGACAGUCCGGCUGCAUGUCUUGUCAUCCCAUUGAUCACCAGAGUGAUUUGGUUGAUCCCGUGACUAUCUGGGUACCCCUUUCCUCUGCCGUUCCAUGUGCAUCUCUCCCAAAGCUCAGCCGAAGAGACACAGCCCGUUGUAUGAGCAGCUGUGCUCCCCUGCCAGAACCUCCAACCAAGUGCACAAGAUAGUCAAACGCGGUAGUACAGUGGUCAGAGCACUUGCUUUGCACAUAACCAACCCAGGUU
ensembl:misc_RNA 7SK 7SK RNA